UGAAACAAUAAAAUCCCUUGACUUCCAAGUUUCGUGUCUGUCUCUCCUCUUUCAUUUCCUUCUCUGGUUUUACCGAACCACCAGCGAUGGUUCAAACAAGCGAAUUUCCCAUAAACCCCCAAAUGCCACCAGCCGCCCCGAUCCAAUCUCAACCUCCACCGCCAGGCCAACCGCAACCUCAACCGCAAACGGACCUUUUCCGCACCGCCAAGCGCCGUCGCGAGGAAGAAGACCCCGCGGAGGCAGGGGAUACCGGAGAAUCGGCUUCGAAACGGCAGGCGAAAUCCCAGGACGUCAUUUUCCGUAUCGUGGUCCCCUCAAGGCAGAUCGGUAAAGUCAUCGGCAAAGCAGGCCAUAGAAUCCAGAAGAUUCGUGAAGACACCAAAGCCACCAUCAAGAUUGCCGAUGCCAUCGUCCGACACGAAGAACGUGUCAUCAUCAUAAGCUCUAGAGACAACGAGGACAUGAUUUCAGAUGCAGAAAAUGCACUUCAGCAAAUAGCUACCUUAAUCCUAAAGGAAGAUGAUAGUGGUACGGAGGCAGCAAAGGUAGGAGCUGUCAGUGCGGGACAUGUGGCUGCGAAUACGAUAAGGCUUUUGAUUGCCGGGUCACAAGCAGGCUGCCUAAUUGGGAUGUCUGGUCAAAACAUUGAGAAAUUGAGGAGUUCCUCAGGAGCCUCAGUCACGAUUCUUGCUCCAAACCAGCUGCCUUUGUGUGCAUCUGCUCACGAAUCUGAUCGAGUUGUUCAGAUAUCUGGUGAUGUUCCAGCAGUAUUGAAGGCUCUGGCUGAGAUUGGUUAUCAACUCAGGGAAAACCCACCACGGCAAGUGAUUUCUAUUAGUCCAGCAUAUAAUUUUAACUUGCUUCGGCCACCUCAGCCUCAGCCAUAUGUGGACCCAACUUCAGGACAACCACUCUUGCAGCUGAUUAUGUUACUUUCGAGAUGGUGGUUUCGGAGACAUUUAUUGGUGGAUUGAUCGGCAGAUGUGGCUCCAAUAUUUCAAGGAUCAGAAUUGAGUCUGGAGCAACUAUAAAGGUUUAUGGUGGGAAAGGAGAACAAAAAGUGAGGCAUAUUCAGUUCAGCGGUAGUUCUCAGCAAGUUGCUUUAGCAAAGCAGAGGGUUGACGAAUGCAUAUAUUCUCAGAUGAUACAACAAGCUGGUACUCAACAACCAGGUUUGCAGAUGUGAUGAAGCUGCAGGGAAAUUAUCUUUUUGAUCCUUAACAGUUCCAAGGCCACUGUUGUCUCAGUGUUGCACCUUCAGCGCUGUAGCUAAAGAUUGCAAGUCAUUGUGUUUGGUGGCUUUUUUCUCCUUUGAAUGACAAGUAAUAUGCCAGAUUGUAGUUUGUUGUUUUCACAUAUAGAGUAGGCUUGUAUUCUACUAAUGAAUGAAGCUAGAAGCGGUGGUUGAAGAUUAAUUAAAACUACUGAAUUGACAAACAUGAUUAAACUGUAAAUUUGAAUUGUUUAUCUAUACUGAUUUGGUGUAUAAGAGUGUCUUGGGGUUUUCCUGGUGGGGAUGACACCCUAAGCUCAUGGUUGAGGCCAUAACUUAGAGA